UUACUGCUGAAGAGUCCUAGAAUGGGACGAAACAGAUAUUCAGUAA
rnacentral:hammerhead_ribozyme from 1 species